rnacentral:misc_RNA from 1 species
GAUGAAGAACGUAGCGAAAUGCGAUAAGUAAUGUGAAUUGCAGAAUUCAGUGAAUCAUCGAAUCUUUGAACGCACAUUGCGCCCCUUGGUAUUCCGAGGGGCAUGCCUGUUCGAGCGUCAUUAUAACCCCUCAAGCUCAGCUUGGUGUUGGGGCCUGCUGCACUGGCAGCCCUUAAAAUCAGUGGCGGCGCCAUCUGGCUCUAAGCGUAGUAAUUCUUCUCGCUAUGGAGUCCUGGUGGAUGCUUGCCAUCAACCCCCAAUUUUUCUAUGGUUGACCUCGGAUCAGGUAGGGAUACCCGCUGAACUUAAGCAUGUCAAUAAGCGGAGGA